rnacentral:lncRNA from 1 species
AUUAUUGACUUUAGUUAACUUUUAGUUCAACUGAGUUUUGACCACAACUGAGUUUUGACCCCAAAUUUGAUGGGGUAGAGCAUCUGAAGAAAGGAGAACCCCUAGAAUCCCAACCCCGUUGACCACAUGGAAGAUGAGAUGUUUCACAUCUUCUAGGCAAAAAGUAGUAGGUGUGCAGAAGGCCAAGGAAUAGACAAAGCUAGAAAUGUGAAAAUCUGAAGGGAAAAAAGUCAAGGAAAAAACCCAAAACCCAACUCAAGGAUGGAGUUGGCUAAAGAGUCAUGGAAUAGUAUGGCUAACUGGGUAGAAGCGGUGUGGGUAGAAACUCUAAUGCGGUAGUAUACAUGUCAUUUAUAACACAGCCUACAACUAACCUAAGGCAGAAGCAGAAAAUAGAAGAAAACAGGAAUUAACUGAGGCGAACUAGAAUUGGUGCUUGUCACAAUUAAUGGGAUAAGGAAGAAACACUAAAGAAUCAAAGGCUUCAAAAAGCUGCUGUAAAUACUAAAUAAGAACUGAGAAAAGCACAAUUCUUAUUGUCAUGUAUUCAUCAGAGGCCCAUGCCAUCGGCUGACGGACCGUGUGAAUAGGUCCUGUGACUUAAGUCAUCUCAUAUGUCUGCAUGGAAGACCCUGUCUGCUUUAAACCAGAUUGACCCUCUACCUAUCUUCCAGAAACAGGUACCGCAGGCAAGUUCUCCUAAUGCCUGGCCCUUGGGGAAGCCUAGAGAGAGAGGCAAUUUGGAAAACCCUGUUUUGGAACGGAGCUGCUCCUUAAAAGCUCCCCGUGGAAGAGGGAUUCCUGCUGCAAACGACAUGACACCCCAGACACGCGGCUUGGGCUGGUGCAAGGAUUGUCACUCCUUCCUUCUUGAGGCUCUCUGACCUAGUAGGUCCAUGGCCUGCACUGCUAGGUGAGUACCCAGGUGACUUGUUCCCUUAUGUUAUGCUUGGGCUCUUCUCUGGAAGUUACAGAGAUACAGAGGCUGCCCAAUGUGUCUGUUUACUUUUCAUAUGCUUUUGACUUUUACGCUGACUUCAUCUCCUUGUGUUUCCUGGUUUCUGGAAGAAAAUGUGGCAAACAUUGUCACUGGCAAGUUCCCGCCAUGCAGCAUUAGUAAAAUGGAUUUCUUCCCUUUAUUUACACUUUUAUAAAUUUAACCUCUUGCCAACACAUCCUAUCACCACGUACUCUUCAUCACCAAUAUGAAGGCCUAAGCAGUAUGGAGACGAGACUUUGUUUUCUUCCCUAUUUGAUUUUUAAAUUAUAGAAGAUUCUAAUGCUGUCAACUGGUAAAUGUUUAGAGUUUAAGGUAAACAUCACUCCAACUUUUAUAAUGUUUAGAGUUUAAGGUAAACAUCACUCCUACGGAAAACUGGUUUUGAAGAUGACCUUUUUUAAAAACCUACUUUACAAAGAGUUUUCUCGAACACAUAUUUUCAAAUUUGAUAAAGAAAACAAGGGGUUCUACCUGUUCAAUGCAGCUUUGAAUAUUUAGAAUUUCUUCUGUUAACUGUUCUGUUUUCUCAUCCCUGCUGCACGCGGUGCUCAAAGAGACUGAACUGGAGACACCAGCCCCCUGCCAGGAAAAGCCACACGUUCUUGGAGUGAGGAAGUGCUAGCUGCUGGCUGGGGACUUCCCAGGUCACUCAUUUUGAAACCCUCCAAACACUGACCUAAAGAUCAAAUUCUUGUCCUCAACAGCAAGGAUCAAAAGGUUGGAAGGCUGUGUGCUGUUUCCUCAUCCAGCACCAGGGUUCUGUUGCAGAGCUGCAGUUAAAGGGACACUAAGUCCGGCUUGUUCUUUUCUUCCUCAUCUUUCCAAUUAAGGACAUUAUUUGAUUUGGUGCAUCUUAGCCAUUCAUUUUGGCGGACAGUCGUUUCUCUUGUUAAAAAGACCAAAGACCGUCCUAAACUUGGAGUCAGCCAAGUAGGUAGAGCAAGUGUCUCAUGAUUCCACAGAGCUGCCCGAGGAGCACCGGGUUCCAGUCUACGCGGGAGCCCCUGUUAGGAGCGGUGUUACGUGCGGGAGCCGGAGCUCUGAGAGCAGCCACGUGGCAUAAGUCGUACCUCGUGGACACUUUUGUACUGUUUAGUCCAAGCACAGGUGCCAGGCAUGAGAGCCUAUGUGACCCUGAGACCAAAAAAAGAGGGAAGAGAGAAAAGAGGGAGGAGCAGGAGAAGUUCUCCUAAUUCACUUCUCUUAAUUCUCACUAGGGGAAGAGAAUGACUAAAACAGAACCUGCAUCUAAGAGCAUUAGUAUUAUUAAUAAUAAUACCUUUGAUAACUAGGCCAGUGAUCUCACAGCACUUUUAUCAUCCAUUAUUUUCUCUGUACUCACCCAAAUCUCAAGGACCUAUAGAAUGGGUAUCGCCGUGUCUUAAGUUUUUGUUUCUCUUUUCUCUUUCUUCAUCAGCUUUGUUUGAAAAUGAGGGAUCUUGACCUGAGCGCUAAGAACUUAUAGAUUUUGAAUGAAAAAAGCCUCUACUAUUUUGGAGGCAUCGUCUUUCCUCUUAGGUAGACAUCAGCCUACAGUACUUUAUAGGAGGUACAAAGGUAGUGUAUAUGCAAUAUCGGACAUCACAGCAGAGUGAUGUCCAAGGGCUCCCAUUCAUAGUAAACUCAAUGAGAGAAUUUAUAUCCCAAAUCAAAAAGUGGAAAAUUCUAGACUGGUUUUAAAGCAUCAUAGCCCAGAGAUAGUCAGUUGACUCAUGGAGAGCCUCUGUUCUGAUGUAUCUGAGCAUACAUAGUUCACAUGAUUAGAUUUCCUGAGUCUGUUUAAAAUCUUGGAGGUGCCUGGUGGCUCAGUCGGAUAAACGUCUGCCUUCGGCUCAGGUCAUGAUCCCAGGGUCCUGGGAUUGAGCCCCGCAUCAGGCUCCUUGCACAGCGGGAGCCUGCUUCUCCUUCUCCCUCUCCCCUUCGCCCUUCUUGUGAUUUCUCUCUCUCACAUAAAUAAAUAAAAUCUUUUUAAAAAAUAAAAUCUUGAUCAUUACGGUUUAUAAACGAAUUCAGCCAUUUGGAAAUCUGACUUAAAAUGAAAGUCUGGUCAUUUGUCUCAAAUGUUGAGAUAGCUCUCUCAAAUGGUAGGCUCUUUGCCUUGAAUAUUAGGUAGGUCAUCCUCCUUUAAAUCUUGUCCUUCCUAACUCACCCCCACCCCACUCAUCUCCCAAAAGAAGACCCCUAACAGAGUUUUCAUCUGUCUUUGUAGUACUCCAUUCCUAUAAAUUCCUUCUCCAUGUUUUUGUUCUGUUUCACUUAGUUUGGAAAAUGGCAGCACAGAAUAUGUUUGGUAAUGUUUGGUAUAACCCUAAUCCUGGCUGGCACCUGUGAUCCCUUUUUUAAAAAAAAAUGAAGAAGCCUUUUUUUAAAAACCUAUUUUAUAAAGAAUUCUCUGAAUUCUUUAUGUAUGUGGAAUAUGUAUAUUUGUGUUUGUGUAUAUUUGUGUGUGUGUGUCCUGGGGUUGAAGUAUAGAAGUAAAAACCUUAAAUAAAGUAGAAAACAAGUGUCCUUUAUUAUCCAGUCCCCUUCAUAUUUUUAGUUGUUUAGAAAAUGUUUCUCCUGUUGUUCCUAUCAAAUAUUUCUCAUUUUGGCAUCGUGAUGUCAGAGUGUGUGUGUGUAUGUGUUCGUGUGCGGGGUAGAGGUAAGGGAGACACUAGGUCAGAUCCUAUAAUGCGCAACGGUGAAGAGCCUACUAAGUUAAUUAAUCUUCAAUUAGCAGAUCAUUGAGAAUAUGAAUCACUCACAGGCAGUCAAAAGGUGAUGUCAGUGAGUGGUUAUGGCUCAGCAUGACUGUUCCUGUUUGUUAUUGCAUUUAGUCUUAGCACUCUUGCUAUCACAAGGCUGUCCUGUGAGUUUUACUCUGGGACUUUAGAAAUGUCUAUGCCAAAGAGGCAUCUGGGUGGCUUCCAACUCUUGGCUCUGGUUCAGGAAAUCUCAGGGUGGUGAGCUAGAUCCCUACGUCAGGCUCCACACUCAGCGUGGAGUCUGCUAGAGAUUCUCUUUCCCUCUCCCUCUCCUGAUCAUGCCCUCUCUCUCUCUAAAAAUAAAUAAAUAAAUCUUAAAAAAAAAAAGUCUAUGCCAAACAUAGCAUAGCUAUGAGCUAUGGGUAGCUCAGAGAGUUAAGCAUCUGCCUUUGGCUCAGGUCAUGAUCCCAGGGUCCUGGGAUCCAGCCCUGCUUCUCCCUCUCCCUCUCCUGUUCCCCCUGCUUGUGCUCUCUCACUCUCUCUGUCAAAUAAAUAAAUAAAAUCUUAAAAAAAAAUAUAUAUAUAUAUAUAUAUAAAGCAAGGGACAAGAAGGAUGUCUGGGUGGCUUAGUCAGUUAAGCAUCUGCCUUCAGCUGAGGUCAUGAUCUCAGGGCCCUGGGCUUCAGGCUCCUUACUCAGCAGGUA